UACGUAGGUGGCAAGCGUUGUCCGGAAUUAUUGGGCGUAAAGCGCACGUAGGCGGAUUUGUUAGUCAGGGGUGAAAUCCCGAGGCUCAACCUCGGAACUGCCUUUGAUACUGCAAAUCUCGAGUCCGGAAGAGGUGAGUGGAAUUCCUAGUGUAGAGGUGAAAUUCGUAGAUAUUAGGAAGAACACCAGUGGCGAAGGCGGCUCACUGGUCCGGUACUGACGCUGAGGUGCGAAAGCGUGGGGAGCAAACAGG
rnacentral:rRNA from 1 species